rnacentral:rRNA from 1 species
GGCGAACGCUGGCGGCGCGCCUAACACAUGCAAGUCGAGCGAUGAAAUUUCGACAGAUCCCUUCGGGGGGAAGAGGAAAUGGAUUAGCGGCGGACGGGUGAGUAACACGUGAGUAACCUGCCUUUGACAUUGGGAUAGCCUCGGGAAACUGGGAUUAAUACCAAAUGACACUACCUGAUCACAUGAUCAAUUAGUCAAAGAAAUUCGGGCAAAGAUGGACUCGCAGCUGAUAAGCUAGUUGGUGAGCUAACGGCCCACCAAGGCGACGAUCAGUAGCCGGGCAGAGAGGGACAUCGGAGACACUGAAACGAGGACACGGUGGAGAAUCCUGCGGGAGGGAGGCGAGGGGGAUACUGCAAAACGGCGGGGGUCAAGAUGGAGCGAGGCUGGGUGAGCGAAGAAGGCGGGCAGGAAGUAAAGCACUUUUAUGAGGGAAGGUAAUGACGGUACCUAAAGAAAAAGCCCCGGCUAACUACGUG